rnacentral:lncRNA from 1 species
UCAUCAAACACAACGUUGUGUGGGAACCCUGCGUUGUUCUUGAACACAAUCUUCUCACCAGACGCCACACUGAAGGUGGAUGGUUCGAAAACCAAUCCACCGUCACUGCUUCCUAGCAAGACUUCUGCUGCCAGCGCGUUGCUGGCCAGCAACGCGCUGGCGGAAACAGCGAUAGCUGUGGCCACCGCUUGCUUCAAGGAAGCUCUCACUGAGAGCUUUGGGGUGACGGAUGCUACCUUGACGGUAGCAGUGGUGGCCCUUGAACCGGCUGUGGCGGUCUUAAGGCCGGUGAAUGAUGGGAUGGAGAUGGUGG